rnacentral:sRNA from 1 species
AUGUACCCACGUACACUCCGGUUCCUCCGCGCCGUCCGCACCCACCUGAAGACUGCUCGCUACGUUUUGUUAGCC